GCCGCGUGAGCGAUGAAGGCCUUCGGGUCGUAAAGCUCUGUCCUAAGGGAAGAAUAAUGACGGUACCUUAGGAGGAAGCCCCGGCUAACUACGUGCCAGCAGCCGCGGUAAUACGUAGGGGGCAAGCGUUGUCCGGAUUUACUGGGCGUAAAGGGUGCGUAGGCGGCCUAGCAAGUCAGAAGUUAAAGCCCUCGGCUCAACCGAGGUAAGCUUUUGAAACUGCUAGGCUUGAGUGCAGGAGAGGAGAGUGGAAUUCCUAGUGUAGCGGUGAAAUGCGUAGAUAUUAGGGGGAACACCAGUGGCGAAGGCGACUCUCUGGACUG
rnacentral:rRNA from 1 species